AAAAACAUCGCCUCCUGCAAAAAUCAAUGUAUAGGAGGUCCUGCCUGCCCAGUGACUAUUAGUUAAACGGCCGCGGUAUUUUGACCGUGCUAAGGUAGCGUAAUCACUUGUCUUUUAAAUGGAGACCUGUAUGAAUGGCGGAACGAGGGCUUAACUGUCUCCCUUCUCUAGUCAAUGAAAUUGAUCUGCCCGUGCAGAAGCGGACAUAAAAAUACAAGACGAGAAGACCCUUUGGAGCUUAAGACACCAGGCCAACUGUGUCAAAGACUCAAACAAAAUGAAAAAAAACAAAACAGCAACUGGCCAACGUCUUCGGUUGGGGCGACCGCGGGGGAUAAAAAGCCCCCAUGUGGAAUGGGCAAAACCCUAAAACCAAGAGAGACAUCUCUAAGGCACAGAACAUCUGACCAAAAGAUCCGGCUAAUAAGCCGAUCAACGAACCUAGUUACCCUAGGGAUAACAGCGCAAUCCCCUUUAAGAGUCCAUAUCGACAAGGGGGUUUACGACCUCGAUGUUGGAUCAGGACAUCCUAAUGGCGCAGCCGCUAUUAAGGGUUCGUUUGUUCAACGAUUAAUAGUCCUACGUGAUCUGAG
rnacentral:rRNA from 1 species